GCUCCCCCGCCACGGAGGAGACUCACCACCGCGCCGCCGCCGCGGAGGAGAGGCGGCACCGCGCCGCCAUUGAACCGGGCCAUCGCGGAGGAAUAGGGCACUAGUCUGUAUCAGAAUUGAAUGUUGUGCAAUGGCAGAAAUUGGAAAGAGGACACCCAAAGUUGGAGUGAGGGCCACGUCCGGUUUGAUGUGAGGAAAAGAUCCACCAUCAAAAGCAGAAGUGAUGGAGUGAUUACUUCGCGCUGGUUUGUUUGUUCCAAUGAAGGCCAUCGAAGGAAAAACCAAACAGAUCAUGAGCCAAAGCGUAUUAGAGCUGAAACAAGAACGAAUUGCAAGGCUCAUAUGAUUGUUACAUAUGAUCGAGUUGCCAAACAUUUUGAAGUCACCGAAGUUGAUUUGGAACACAAUCACCGCCUUCAAUUGCCACAGACCCGCCACUUGUUGGCAUCACAAAGGAAGAUUUCAGAACUGCAAGCUUUCGAGAUAGAAACAGCCGAUGAUAGUGAGGAGCAUAUAGCCAACAUAUUCUGGGUUGAUGCUAAAAUGCUACUUGACUAUGCACACUUUGGCGAUGUUGUCACAUUUGACACUACAUUUGGCACAAACAAAGAGUAUAGGCCAUUUGGUAUUUUUCUUGGGCUGAACCAGUUCAGAAAAACAACCAUUUUUGGUGCUGCCUUGAUGUUCGAUGAAACACGUGACUCCUUUAUAUGGCUCUUUGAGACUUUUCUAGCCGCACAUAAGAGAAUGUUGACCCAAAUGUGAAGCAAGUAGAUGAGAUGCUUAGAUCUGCACGGCUGAAGAAAAAAGAGGUUCCGGCAAAGAACUUAAGGAGGAAGAAAACUUGGUUGGACAAGUUACUCAAGGGGAAGCACAGAGUAACUAAAGGGCCAACAAAACAGGGAGAGAAGCCACAAAAGAAGAAGGAUGGUGUGCAAAAAAAGAAAAAAAGAUGGUGUGCUUCCUCAAGUAGGAGUGGAGAAGUAUGACAACAACAAAGAAGUAAAUUUGGUGCUUCAAGAGUGCAAUAAUAUUACGAGCUUCACCCAGCUCUUGACAGCUAACCUUGAUAAUCUGUUCUAGCAUGGAAUCUGUUACAUAAUAUUUUGUACAUGGUGCUGAUGAUGAACAUUAUCUGAUCUAGCAUGGAACUUAUUAGAUAGUAUUUUGGACAUAGUUAACUAUAGUAGUAUGGGGUUAACUAUAUUUUGUGGCCUAAGUGUACAAGUGAAAUGGUCGUUUCGUGGAGAAUUUGAAAUGGCCGUUUUGUGGCCUAAUCUGUUCUGGUAUGGGGUUAACUAUAUUAUUUUGUGGCCUAAGUGUACAAGCAAGUGGUACCGAAUUUGUAUUGUUAAAUUACUGCUGUUUUACUGUU